rnacentral:rRNA from 1 species
AUUAUUGGGCGUAAAGAGCUCGUAGGCGGUUUGUCGCGUCUGCUGUGAAAACUGGAGGCUCAACCUCCAGCCUGCAGUGGGUACGGGCAGACUAGAGUGCGGUAGGGGAGAUUGGAAUUCCUGGUGUAGCGGUGGAAUGCGCAGAUAUCAGGAGGAACACCGAUGGCGAAGGCAGAUCUCUGGGCCGUAACUGACGCUGAGGAGCGAAAGCAUGGGGAGCGAACAGGAUUAGAUACCCUGGUAGUCCAUGCCGUAAACGUUGGGAACUAGAUGUAGGGACCAUUCCACGGUUUCUGUGUCGCAGCUAACGCAUUAAGUUCCCCGCCUGGGGAGUACGGCCGCAAGGCUAAAACUCAAAGGAAUUGACGGGGGCCCGCACAAGCGGCGGAGCAUGCGGAUUAAUUCGAUGCAACGCGAAGAACCUUACCAAGACUUGACAUAUACGAGAACGGGCUAGAAAUAGUUCACUCUUUGGACACUCGUAAACAGGUGGUGCAUGGUUGUCGUCAGCUCGUGUCGUGAGAUGUUGGGUUAAGUCCCGCAACGAGCGCAACCCUCGUUCUUUGUUGCCAGCACGUUAUGGUGGGAACUCAAAGGAGACUGCCGGGGUCAACUCGGAGGAAGGUGGGGAUGACGUCAAAUCAUCAUGCCCCUUAUGUCUUGGGCUUCACGCAUGCUACAAUGGCCGAUACAAAGGGCUGCGAUACCGCAAGGUGGAGCGAAUCCCAAAAAGUCGGUCUCAGUUCGGAUUGAGGUCUGCAACUCGACCUCAUGAAGUCGGAGUCGCUAGUAAUCGCAGAUCAGCAACGCUGCGGUGAAUACGUUCCCGGGCCUUGUACACACCGCCCGUCAAGUCAUGAAAGUCGGUAACACCCGAAGCCAGUGGCCUAACCCGCAAGGGGAGGAGCUGUCGAAUGG